GCAGGCGCKAAACCUUUACACUGCACGACAGUGCGAURGGGGGAUCCCAAGUGCACAGGCAUAGYGCCUGUGCUUUUCSGUACCCUAAGGCGGURCCARAAUAAGGGCUGGGCAAGACCGGUGCCAGCCGCCGSGGWAAUACCSGCAGCCCAAGUGAUGGCCGAUCUUAUUGGGCCUAAAGCGUCCGUAGCUGGCCGUACAAGUCCAUCGGGAAAUCCACCUGCUCAACAGGUGGGCGCCCGGUAGAAACUGUGCGGCUUGGGACCGGAAGGCGCGACGGGUACGUCCGGGGUAGGUGUGAAAUCCCGUAAUCCUGGACGGACCGCCGAUGGCGAAAGCACGUCGCGAGAACGGAUCCGACAGUGAGGGACGAAAGCCAGGGUCUCGAACCGGAUUAGAUACCCGGGUAGUCCUGGCCGUAAACAAUGUCUGCUAGGUGUGGYUCCCACUACGAGUGGGUGCUGUGCCGUAGGGAAGCCGYUAAGCAGACCGCYUGGGAAGUACGUCCGCAAGGAUGAAACUUAAAGGAAUUGGCGGGGGAGCACUACAACCGGAGGAGCCUGCGGWUUAAUUGGAGUCAACGCCGG
rnacentral:rRNA from 1 species